UACGUAGGGUGCGAGCGUUAAUCGGAAUUACUGGGCGUAAAGCGUGCGCAGGCGGUGAUGUAAGACAGGUGUGAAACCCCCGGGCUUAACCUGGGAACUGCAUUUGUGACUGCAUCGCUGGAGUGCGGCAGAGGGGGAUGGAAUUCCGCGUGUAGCAGUGAAAUGCGUAGAUAUGCGGAGGAACACCGAUGGCGAAGGCAAUCCCCUGGGCCUGCACUGACGCUCAUGCACGAAAGCGUGGGGAGCAAACAGG
rnacentral:rRNA from 1 species